UCGUUUCUCGCCGAUGACCCCAAUGCCUGCUAGUAAUCUUUCUGGAGGACUAUCUCCUUCGUCACUAGGUGGUUUCUCGCCGGCGAAUGGACUCUCUUCCUCAACGUCUUGUAGUAAUCGUUCCUCACGGAUGAGCUCAAUGUCUUUUAGUAAUCUUUCUGGGGGAUUAUCUCCUUCAUCACUAGGUGGUUUCUCGCCGGCGAAUGGACUUUCUUCCUCGACGUCUGCUUGUAGUAACCGUUUUUCACCCAUGACCUCAAUGUCUUUUAGUAAUCUUUCUGGAGGAUUGUCUCCUUCGUCACUAGGUGGUUUCUCGCCGGCAAAUGGACUCUUUUCCUCAACGUCUUGUAGUUUUCGUUUCUCACCAAUGACCUUAAUGUCUUUUAGUAAUCUUUCCGGAGGAUUGUCUCCUUCGUCACUAGGUGGUUUCUCGCCGGCGAAUGGACUUUCUUCCUCAACAUCUUGUAGUUUUCGUUUCUCACCGAUGACCUCAAUGUCUUUUAGUAAUCUUUCUGGAGGAUUGUCUCCUUCGUCACUAGGCGGUUUCUCUCCGGCGAAUGGACUCUCUUCCUCGACAUCUGCUUGUAGUUUUCGUUUUCGUUUCUCACCGAUGACCUCAAUUUCUUUUAGUAAUCUUUCUGGGGGCUUAUCUCCUUCGUCACUAGGUGGUUUCUCACCAGCAAACGGACUUUCUUCCUCGACAUUCUCUUCCAAUAAUCUUCCUGGCUCCCCUCCCUCAUCACUAGGUGG
rnacentral:lncRNA from 1 species